GUGCGUCUUCAGGGCGGGGUGAAAUUCCCCACCGGCGGUAGGCUGGCGUAAGCCGGCGAGCCCGCGAGCGCCCGCGCAUCCGCGCGGGGUCAGCAGAUCUGGUCGAAUGCCAGAGCCGACGGUCACAGUCCGGAUGAGAGAAGAUGUGC
rfam:Mumia flava strain MTSC 201 Contig124, whole genome shotgun sequence.